UACGUAGGGUGCGAGCGUUAAUCGGAAUUACUGGGCGUAAAGCGUGCGCAGGCGGCUUUGCAAGCCGGGUGUGAAAUCCCCGGGCUUAACCUGGGAAUUGCGUUGGAGACUGCAAGGCUGGAAUCUGGCAGAGGGGGGUAGAAUUCCACGUGUAGCAGUGAAAUGCGUAGAGAUGUGGAGGAACACCGAUGGCGAAGGCAGCCCCCUGGGUCAAGAUUGACGCUCAUGCACGAAAGCGUGGGGAGCAAACAGG
rnacentral:rRNA from 1 species